rnacentral:rRNA from 1 species
UACGUAGGGUGCAAGCGUUGUCCGGAAUUAUUGGGCGUAAAGAGCUCGUAGGCGGUUUGUUGCGUCGGCUGUGAAAACCUGAGGCUCAACCUCAGGCCUGCAGUCGAUACGAGCAGACUAGAGUGUUGCAGGGGAGACUGGAAUUCCUGGUGUAGCGGUGAAAUGCGCAGAUAUCAGGAAGAACACCCGUGGCGAAGGCGGCUCUCUGGAACGCAACUGACGCUGAGACGCGAAAGCGUGGGGAGCAAACAGG